CAUCCUACAGAGGCUGGAGGACUCCGAGCUUGGGGAAGAGACAGUUAAAGCUUCCCCAUGAGAGCGAGUUAUAUCAUGCAGCGCCAGUGCCAGGUCAGCAGUCUGGCUGGAGCUGGACCGGCUGGUGGCGCCAGGCAGUGCCAAGCACCCCUGGCAGCCCUGCAGAGGGUUCUCAAAUCCAGAUUUCAUUCUGCAGUCCCGGCAGUGCUUUGACGACUGCCUCACUAAAGGAAGCUAAAAGCUGUGCCGAUGCCUCCCAGACGAGCCUCGUUGGAAGCACAGAACCUUCACGACUCGGAGCCGCUGACACGGUGACAAAGGGAGCCCUGCUCAGGAGAAAGAGUAAAUGAGAAGAAGUAGCACUUUUUCAGGUGUCAGGCUGGAGGAAGCCACUUGAAGAUGAGUCUACGUCUGCCUUAGGAUUGCCUGGCAGCCUGCGCCAUUCCGUGUUAUAUCUACUUAUUUGCUCCCUGUAUUCAAUUAUUAUUUUUUUUACUUAAUUCUCUCAUACUGACCCUGAGAGUGACCAUAUUUUUAACCAAUUUGGUCUUCAGCCUCAAAACUUAGCUCUUUCCUUUUGGGGUCCCUGAAUCCUACCAUGUGUCAUGGUGGCUGUGAAGAUGUUUGCCAAGCCUGCUGAGAAGGCUCAUCUGUGGCAUCUGAGAGCACAGAUUUCAACUCUGGACCCCUGUAAACUGCCUUUGGAAUUAUGGACACCCAGCACUGUUUUGAAAUAUCAGUGGACAUCCAGUUUUUAAAAGCCCUCAGAGCUUUGGGAGGCACCCCUUUAUCUCUCUGGCAUGUCAGAGAACCGAUUCAACCCUUCUCAUCUCCUCUUCCUUCCCUCUCUUGGGCAAUCAGGAUGCAGCAGCAACUCACUGUGCAUGUUUUUACAGCUCUUCUCCAGUAAUGCUGCCAUUUCCACUGCAGACCACAGGAUAAAAAGGACCACUUCACAGUGGCCCAGGAUACCCUUUUAAGUAGGAGAGAGGAUUAUUGGCAACUGGCACCACCCCCACGUCUGGAGGAGGGACGUUUCUAGGAUGACCCCCAGAGUGGAGAAAUAGCCGAGAUAACAAAAUGUAUCUACCCUCUCCAAGAGUGUAAACUAACCUGGUGGCUGGAAAAAACAAACAAACAAACAAAGAUCUGUGAAGAAAGAUCUGACUUUUCAACUGGCGCAUACCGUUCCUUGAAACAGAGGUGAUUAAACAGCCCUUAACAGAUUGCCUGGUGUCCGCCCACAUUGGUGAGGGUGAUCUUCUUUGCUCAGCGUACUGAAUCAAAUGCCAGACUCUUCCAGGAGGACCUUCACAGUGUGGUAGCAGGUAUCCUGAAGGUGCUGCCUCUGACACCUCCUGGAAAUUCUGUGUGCACGACUACAAGCAUUAUUUGAUUGCUUGGCUGAGUUCAGGAGAGGGACUCUGCAGCAGCCAGAGUGAAGAACAAAGUGUUGAGAGAUACUGGGAGGACACAGGAAUGCAGAGGACAGGGAUGCUUUUCUAAUUUGUGCAUCAGGGGAUUGGGGGGACUCACCACAGGAGACAGAAGUUGGGUCCUUGAAUCCUUGGGUCAGAAAGCAAAACUUACUCGUAUCUUCUGCUCCACCCAACUAAGCCUGGCCCUGGCUGGGUCACACCCUCACUGAAAAGUAUGUAAGAGAAAAAUCUACUUGCUAGCUCAGGGGGCUGGAAUGAAUUUCAGGCUGUGUCUACGUGGAUGUCAGUGAGGUUUGAGUAAAAUACAGGCUGCGGGAACUUCCCUGAAUGUUUGUAACCAUGGACCUAACUCAUAAAGGAUCAGGGUUGGAACUGAGAUUGUCAAAGCUGUGAACCCCAGUGCACCUGGUGGAAAUACACGCAAACCACUCCUGAAAAAUGAACUCUCCAGCAUCCCCACGCCCCAAAUUCAUGUGGAGCAAUAUGCUUAAAAUGCUUAAAGACAUUUCAAAAAGGAAAUAUAGUUAUCAGAAAAGACAGAGGAUGCUUCAAAAAUACAAGAUAGAUUUUAGAAAAAAAUAAAUGGAACAUGUUAAAAAUGUGAUCAUUGAAACUGGGAUAAUUCAAAUGAGGAACAGCACAUAUGAUGCCCAUGAAAAAAAGAAUUAAUGGGUAGUAGAAUAGAUUAGAAUCAUUUAUCCCACAUCGAACAAAAAGAGAUACAGAGAUUUUAUCUCUCUUUACCUGUUAGAAACCUCAUAGGUUACCUGUUAGAAACCUACCUCUAAUUAGAGGACCAAAGAAAGAAAACAGACAAAAGUGGAAGAGAGGCAAUAUUCAUAGAAAUAAUGAAUAUUUUUCCCACAACUUAUGAAAGAAUGGAGUCUGGAGAAUCAGGAAUUUCAGUAAGUCCUAAGAAAAAUAAGUCCUAUUGAGUACAUACCUAAACUCAUUGCAGUGAAACUGCAUGCUACCCAAUACAAGACAUGAUUAAACACACACACAGACACGCGCGCGCAUGCGCGCGCUGAGAAGAAACAGACUCCCAAUAAAGAAAAACAAAUUAGUCUGAUAGUAGACCUCUCAACAGUCAUCAGGGAGGCUGGGGUUUACCUUGACUGCCUAAAUUAAAGUCCAUUCCCAAGGACAUCUCAAAUGGCCAAGUAACCAGUCCCUGCUUGUUUACAGAGUGUGAAAGUUGUUUAGAUUUGCAAUGAACCACCUCUCUACCUCCACCUCCCUGAGCUCUGAGGCAAAUGGAUUUCCCUAUUAUAAACUAGGAAUGAGUGUCUGAAAGAAGCCUUUUCUGAUUCCCUGCAAAAGUUCAUUCAUCAGGAGGAAGGGGAGUCAUCCCAGCCUUCACCACCUGUGGAACGCAGCAACCUCACUGUGGGAGACACCAGUAGCCUGUUCCUCCCAAGAAUGAGCCGCAGAGGGUGUUGCCCGCAGCAGGAGGGAGCCGAUUCUCAUCUGAGAACAAAGUGACUUGAUGAAUUCUACAUUUUAAAGAGCCUGGACGCAGCUGACCUUAAUGUUUAUUCAAUCAAUGCUGGGAAGGAAACUAACAUUCAAAGGUGCUUUGCUCUGCUUGCCUCCAGGACUGGGGCAGGAGAAUGCCUUGUAGAGUGUGCUUUGUGCUAUUAUGGUCAAACUGGCAUAGUCAGCCAAAAGAGAGGCGCCCACAUAGAUCCCCCAGAAGAAGUCACUGAUGUGGAGGUGGCAAAGUGUAAGAAAGACAGAACCAAUCUGGGUCAACUGGGUUAGACAGAGAUCAGCUCUGCACUCCUAAGGCCAUGGGAACCUGUUCCUGAAUCUGUGGAGCGUCGAUUUUCUGUUCUACUCUGAGUCCUACCAUAAGUAGAAGCAUCAUUAUGUGGAAAGGAAUUCCCAGCGGUUCCUAAACAUCCUUCUCCUCCUUUAACAAAUAAAGACAUAUGCAUCUUGCAUUAAUACUGUGGAAUAAAUAAUGAAUUAUAAAUGGAAUAGAAAUUAUAAUACAGUGAUGUGAUAUCUGCACAGAUUUUUAUGGUCCCCGGAGUCAGUCCCUUUAGAGAUGUACAUUAUUUUCUCUAUUUAAAGAUAUUCAUAACUCUUUGUUAAUCCAGCUCACCAUACUCAUCUAGGGACACUGGGAGGGAAAAUGUAUUUGGAAUUCUAUGGGCUCCAUUCUUCCAUUGCUUUUCAAUUACAGACACCAUUCGUCUUGUGUGUUUUAUCUCUUGGAGCGUUCUCCCUUGUGCUGCUGGAAGAUAACACUCUUUUCAGGUCUGUGAAGUUGCUGGGUUUUACUACGUGUCUCCUAACACCCAUAGGUGUAUGUAAUCUCACUGUAACAGAAUGUUGUCAUGUCUUGUUGACUAAUUAAGCACCCUCGUUCCAAAGCUCAGCAGCUGAAAGUUCAAGUGUUAAACGGUGGGAUAGUGAAUCCAGGAGGCAGUGAAUGAGGAGGCGACUCCGGCCCUGGCUGGGAUUUUACUUCUUGCUCUUCUGUUGUAUUAUUUUGUCUCUGUUUUGCCACAUGCUGCCUGGUUGAAGAUGCCAGGAGGCUCGACACAGAGCCAAAUAUAUUGUCCAAACGUGAGAUUAAAAAUUAGAUCAUAUGUGAUAAAAGACAGCAAUUUAUUUUAGCUUGGUGUUACAUCAGGAAAGUAUGAAAAAAUAUAAUCAAUUUAUUUGCUUACUCACACAACCAAUACUGAGUGUCUGCUAUGUGCUAGACACAGGAAAAAAAUACCAGGUCUAAAAUGAUCCAUAAGGCAAGAUUCUUGCUCUUGAAACACACAAUCCACUGGGAGAGAAAGACAAGUAGUAGAAGAUUAUAGGACAGCAUCAUGAGAAUUGGGAGAAGGACUUGUUGAAUUCAGGGAAGGUGGCAUUUGAGCAGUGUAAGGACCUGCUGGAUGAACAGUGGGAAUUGAAGUAGGAGGAAAACAGAAUUUAGAAGAUCGUGAAGGACUUCCCAUUCUGCAGCAAAAACUUGGGCUUUUACUCAAGGACUUGAGGAGCUGUUGAAGAUUUCAACUGAGAAGCUUCGAGAGGAACCUUGAGACUGAGCUAGUGCCCCUCAAUGGCUGUGUGAAAGGAUGGACUCAAUGGGAGGAAAGAAUCAAAUAAGCUGAGAGGACUCUAAAGAAAAAGAAAAGAGGCACUGAAAGACUGGGCUAAACAGUGAUGAUAGGCUCUCAAGUUAUGGAAGAAGCAUGUAAAUGGGGCUGAGCAGGUCGCUGGAGUAAGGAGAGUUGGAGUCUGCUUUGGCUACCUUGCAUGGAAAUGAUGCUGGUUGUUAAACCAAGGAAUACAGGAAAAAAGACACUGUUUAGAGGUGACAUCAUGAUUUCAGUGUGAGUCAAUUUCAGUUUGAGGCACCAAUGAGACACUCAGGAGGAGUGGGCUAGUUAACCACCCACCAGUGCCCGGAGCUCAAGAGGAAUGUCAGGGCUGGGAUGAAGGUAAGUCAGAAACAUUCCACAGCAGUUAAAAACCAAGUCUACAUGCAGUGGGAAUAACAGUAGCAAGAUGUAACUAUAUAAUACUGGUCAAUAAUAAAAUUUAAAGCAAAUAAGAAGAAAUCUAGGAAGGUAGACUUGGAGCAAGCAUGUAGAGAGAUAUGAGUGAUCCAGAAACAAGUUAUGGCCCAAAAGUUAACAUGGGGAGAGAGUGGAUAUGUGAUUUUCAGAUACCAUAGAAAGUGUCUGUCCUACUAGCAUACAGUCCUAUCGACUGGUUACUAGGUGAGGCAAUAGAUGUGUUAAUUAGCUGGGUUUGGGGGAUAUUUCAAAAUGUAUACAUAGAUCAAAACAACACAUUGUAUAUGUUAAAUAAAAUUUCAAUUUCUCAGUGA